CGCGUGUUCGGUUAUGGGUAGGCCACCGGGUUUUCACCCCGGUAGAGCGGGUUCGAGUCCCGCACGCGCGACCA
rnacentral:tRNA from 1 species